rnacentral:rRNA from 1 species
AUUGAACGCUGGCGGUAUGCUUAAGACAUGCAAGUCGAACGGUAACAGACCUUCGGGUGCUGACGAGUGGCGGACGGGUGAGUAACACGUGGGAAUCUACCUUGUAGUGGGGGAGUAAGCCAGGGAAACUUGGACUAAAUACCGCAUACGCCCUAAGGGGAAAGGAGCAAUUCGCUAUAAGAUGAGCCCGCGUCUGAUUAGCUAGUUGGUGAGGUAAAGGCUCACCAAGGCGACGAUCAGUAGCUGGUCUGAGAGGAUGACCAGCCACAUUGGGACUGAGACACGGCCCAGACUCCUACGGGAGGCAGCAGUCGGGAAUAUUGGACAAUGGGGGCGAACCCUGAUCCAGCAAUACCGCGUGUGUGAAGAAGGCCUGCGGGUUGUAAAGCACUUUUGUGAGGGAAGAACUGCAACGGACCUAAUACGCUGUUGUUUGACGGUACCUUACGAAUAAGCUCCGGCUAACUCCGUG